GUGUUUUUGUUUUAAUUAAAAUUGUUUAUAUUACUUUUGUUAAGAAAGAAAUAAUAAUAUAUAUAAUAUAAAAAUAGGUUUAAAAGAAUUAUUCGAAAAAAAACAUGGAUUACGCGAUAAAAAAUUCUACCCAAAAAGAUUUCUUUUAAAUUGCUUGGAGUGCUGAAGAGUUACGAUUUCAAUAAUAGCAGAUACGUGGAAUAAAAUGUCGGUAAUGCAGGGCAUGUUACCGACAUAACUUCAACUUUUUUGUUUUGGAUUUCCGUAAGAGUGGUGCAUAUUGUAACGAAUAUAUUUUAAGAAAAUGUCAUUUUUGAUUUUGUUAUGAAUUAUUAAAACAACCACUAAUCAACAUAAAUAAAAUUAAUAAAAAGUUGUA